UGGCCGCGCGCUGUUGUUUGGUGUGUGUGUGGGAGCCGGUGUGUUGAGCUGCUGCAGAUGCCUCUACCCUUCCAUUGACUGCUGUUUGAGUGACUUAAUGAUAUGGGAACUGGCCAGGUUCUGUAUAUGGAUGGCGAGCCACUAGGCCCAAAACUGAUGCUUUGGAGUGCAUGCAUCUGCCGGUGUGGUAGGAGGCGCUGCAGCUGCUUCGUUAGAUACACCUGCACACACCUUCAGACAUUCACACCUGCACACAUUCAUGUUUGUUUCAUGGGCUGUUCCAUCAUGGACUCAUUGGACUUUGCCUGUUAAGAGUUGUGUGUCGUGAA